rnacentral:rRNA from 1 species
UGGAUGGCGCUCUAGCGUCGUGCCUAUACCGGGCCGUCAACGGCACAGUCGGCCGGCCGCGUCGCGGCGGCGGUCUUCCGUCCGCCCGGCGCGCCGACCGUUAAGCCUUGACGAGUAGGAGGAGCGCGGCGGUGAGCGCAGAAGGGUCCGGGCGCGAGCCUGCCUGGAGCCGCCGUCGGUGCAGAUCUUGGUGGUAGUAGCAAAUACUCUAGCGAGGACCUUGAGGACUGAUGUGGGGAAGGGUUUCUUGUGAACAGCCGUUGCACAAGAGUCAGUCGAUCCUGAGCCCUAGGAGAAAUCCUAUGUUGAUGGGGCGCGGUUUAACUAACGCUGGACUCGCUCCCCGUCGGGCGAAAGGGAAUCCGGUCCGUAUUCCGGAACCCGGCUGCGUAACCGCACUCUGCGGGCACUCGUCCGCGAGGGCUCGUCGGGGUAACCCAACUAGGCCCGGAGACGCCGGCGGGAGGUCUGGGAAGAGUUGUCUUUUCUGCAUAAGCGUUCGAGUUCCCUGGAAUCCUCUUGCAGGGAGAUAGGGUUCGGAACGCGAAGAGCACCGCAGUUGCAGCGGUGUCCAGGCCGUCCCCCCGGACCUUGAAAAUCCGGGUUAGGGCUACGCGGUAAUCGCGCCGGCUCGUACCCAUAACCGCAGCAGGUCUCCAAGGUAAGAGCCUCUAGUCGAUAG